CAAAUUUUAGGAACAAUUUGCUUCCAGGUUCUAUGGUUAAGCAGCUUAAAUUUGAGAUGUUUGAUACUUGUAGUAAUCACAUCAACAAAGGUUUGGAAGUUGAAUUGAACGUGGAUGGAUUUCGAUUUGAAGACCAAUUGGGCAUAAAGCGUAAGGUGGACGAUUAUGGAUGUGUUGACCUUAGUGGCCUUUUGAAAGUAACAGGUGGUUAUGGAAAAAGUG